rnacentral:lncRNA from 1 species
GUUUAAUAAAUGCUCUUUACAGGUAGCGCGUGGAUAUUUGAUGUGUGAGAUAAAAUAUGAAGCAGAUGUAUUACACAGAUACAACAGCUUCGUCGUUUUAACAGCAUAUUGGAUUGUUGUCGUGUGCUACCUCAUGUCGUCACUUUCGCUUUCGUUACUUUCGAUUCAAAAUUAGUCGAGCAGGUUGAAUCGUGCAGUCCAGACGUCGACAGCUCACUUUACACAGUUUACGCUUUUCGUCUGUCGAAGCCGAAGUUUGGUUUCAGUUGCUGUUUGGAGAUUCUAUCGCCAUCAUGUCACAGGAAGUUGAAGAAAUGGAAACUGAAAGCUCUGAACUACAUCAGGCCACUCCUUCUCCCCAUCCUUCACACAGUGAUGAUCCUCAGUUAAUGGACAUUUCUAACGAUCAGGACUAUACAGCAGGCAUUGGAGGUCAAGACUCUAGCCCUCCUUGGGAUGACAUGAAGAACACAACGGGUCAAACACACUUACAGCCAGAGGGUAUCAGUGGCAGUGUAGUCACUAAACAACCUCCAAGAAUCAAUGGACCAGACCUUCACAUGAUGGGACAUGAUAAAAAGAACUUACAGGCAAGCAGUCGUAAAGGUCAAGACUCUGGAUCACCUCUGGAUAAACAGGAGCAUCAAGACAUCACACAAGACACAACGGACAUUUUUAAAAAUGGUGGUGUAAAAACCAAACCAGUGGAUACUGCUACAUUUAAAAUCAAAGUGGACUGGACAGAAUCGUUUCCAGAGAAGUGGGGAAAACAGUUAGAGAUGGCCCUUCAGAGCUGGUUUAUCAAACAGAUAAAACAAGUAAAAGUAUCUGUCAUCAGCAUUAAACUCAUGGAGGAUCAAUCAUGGGCAGAGGUGGAGAUAGAACCAUCAGCAGCUCUAGAAACUAUACAAAGGCACAGGUCUGUAUCUUUGGAUUUUAAAAAUGAAAAUAAGAAAGUGACCGGACAGAUUCAUCUGGAUGAUUCUGUGACUGUAUCACGAAACACCUCCAAGUCGGACAAGAACAGAAUUUCAUCAUCAGAGGUAUUAUGUUUACUUUUUUAGGUUCUGAUGGCUGAGAGAAAUAGGGUAGGAUCUAGAAAAUUAUUUUACCCCCUGCAGUCACUAAUUUAAUCCAUUAAAACUAAUCUUUGAACAAAAUUGAACAUAUUUCUUCUGUAUUUGCCUCUUUAAAUGCAUAUUGCUCUCCAUUCCCUGUCUUCCUGAAGCCACUGGGUGCCGGUGAGCCUGGGUGCGAGGUCCCUUUCAAUGCUGCUUGCAGCUUUAAUUAUUAUUAAGAAUUAUUAGUAUUAGUAUUAGUAUUAUUUCCCCAGUUUUAAUAUAGCUGUUAGCUGUCUUUAUUAUAUUGGCUGAAUGCACAUGAUGGCAAACAAAAUCAGUGAUGAGAAUUUUAAAUAUAGUUGAUAUUUUGGUGGCCAUAAUUGCUUUUAUGAAAUGUCACAAAUCUAAAUUAAUAUUGUGUGUUAAUGCAAUAGGCUUGCUUCAUGUGUGUAAGGACAGUUUAUAGAAAAAAAACAUGUUUUCUCGCCAUUAUUUUGGCAUUAUUUAUAUCAUCAAAUUGUACUGCUGCUGCUGCUGAAAAACAGUCGAGGACAUUCCGCUUACAUAUAUAUUUUGUACACUGGGAUACAAAAUACUUAGGUGGCAGAUGAGGAUGGCAAUGCUUUUUUCUUAGGGUCACAAACCAUGUCACCCCAGUAGAUUACUCCCUGGAGAGAACUCGAAAUAAGCAAAAACUAUGGCCUUACCUGCCAGAGUACACACUUAUCUUUUUUAAGCUCUUCCUAUUCAGCCAUUUAGUAUAUUAGUCAUAAUGGUAACAUCAGAUUUAUGACUUAUGUAACAAUAAUUUGGCAUUUUAGUUCACUUAUGUUAAAUAUUUCUGUGGGCAACCAAUCCUUAAAUGAAAUCCUAUGAAAUGUUCCUAGAUUAAGAAUGCCACGCAUGUGACUUAUGCAGCAUCAGAUGACACAAUCAAUGGUGAAGAUGUUCCAGCUAAUAUUGCUCCAAAUGAAGCUG